rnacentral:rRNA from 1 species
UACGGGGGGAGCAAGCGUUGUUCGGAUUUACUGGGCGUAAAGGGCGCGUAGGCGGUGCGGCAAGUCACCUGUGAAACCUCUGGGCUUAACCCAGAGCCUGCAGGCGAAACUGCCGUGCUGGAGUGUGGGAGAGGUGCGUGGAAUUCCCGGUGUAGCGGUGAAAUGCGUAGAUAUGCGGAGGAACACCGAUGGCGAAGGCAAUCCCCUGGGCCUACACUGACGCUCAUGCACGAAAGCGUGGGGAGCAAACAGG